rnacentral:rRNA from 1 species
CCAGGGUUUGACAUCCUGCGAAUCCCUUGGAAACUUGGGAGUGCCUUCGGGAGCGCAGUGACAGGUGGUGCAUGGCUGUCGUCAGCUCGUGUCGUGAGAUGUUGGGUUAAGUCCCGCAACGAGCGCAACCCACGUCUUUAGUUGCCAGCAUUUAGUUGGGCACUCUAGAGAGACCGCCGGUGAUAAACCGGAGGAAGGUGUGGAUGACGUCAAGUCAUCAUGCCCCUUACAUCCUGGGCUACACACGUACUACAAUGCUACGGACAAAGGGCAGCAAACUCGCGAGAGCUAGCAAAUCCCAUAAACCGUGGCUCAGUUCAGAUCGUAGGCUGCAACUCGCCUACGUGAAGGAGGAAUCGCUAGUAAUC